rnacentral:lncRNA from 1 species
AGGAGUGCUGCUUGGGCGCAUAUGCGGAGCAGACAACGGUUCGAGGUGGCCUCUCGCCUCCCAGGGAAUUACGGCGCAGUGGUGGAAACAGAAGCUGCGGCCACGUCACUUGCUGGAAUCCUCUCUAAGAGAGGGAUUGAAGUGCCAGCGAAACUGCUGAUAAAGUUAAUUAAAUUAGGACAGCGAUGGGGUCAUUUUUCUGACAUACAUAUGCUGUUUUCUGUCUCGGAAUGGCGAGACUUUGGAGGGACGAUGUGGCAUAAAUCAAUCGAGGGGGAUGAAAAAGAGGAGAAGGAGAUAAAAGCCGUCCGCGAACUGUGGAAUACUGUGCUAGAGACUUUAAAAGCAAUGAAAGCGGAGCAGGAAGUAGCCUGUGCAGCUGCUCAAAUGUUAGGUCCGGGAGCAGCCGCCUUAAAACCUCAAGGCAAGCCUGGACCUAUUGCGCAGUUCUUCGGACUGUCCGCAGUAAAGGGAAUGACCGGGUCCACAUAUAAAACUGUUGCUGAAAUUCGAGCUAAUGAGACACCUGACCCUCCUGGGGAGGGAAAAGAUUUGCCGCUAAACCCCUUACAAAACUCGGAAAAAGCGGAAGUAACUGGUGCUAAGCCAAAACAGAAAAGUAAUGCACAUGCUGAAGUGUCUGCUCAGAAAACUCCAGCAGAGGAGGGGCCUGAAACACCUCCUCCCGCACCUCCGCCUGCCGUGUAUCCACCGCUACCCCCCUCCAGCGACUCGUCUGGUCCGUCAACUCCGCCUCCCCACAAGAGUCCUAAACUGUCCUCAGACACCACAGAAAAAAUGUUACAGACAGUUUUAAGGCGGCUCGAGGAGUUAGACUUAUGUGUGGGGAGGAAGGAUGAUAACACGCCUUCAUGGCUAGUGAAUCCCUCAACACCUCCGAGGACUACACGCUGGAGUGGCGUUAUUAGAGACGCUAUAUUAGAAGGUCAGUGGGGAGCAGCCGCUAGUCUGGGCGGAACUCCACCUUUUGCAUGUCCUGUCAUACAUGAAAACAAUACUGGAAAAUGGGAACCACAUGAUUGGAUAAUUC